UACGUAGGGGGCAAGCGUUGUCCGGAAUCAUUGGGCGUAAAGAGCGUGUAGGCGGCCAGAUAAGUCCGCUGUGAAAUCUCGAGGCUCAACUUCGAGCUGUCGGUGGAAACUGUCUGGCUAGAGUCCGGAAGAGGAGAAUGGAAUUCCUGGUGUAGCGGUGAAAUGCGCAGAUAUCAGGAAGAACACCAAUGGCGAAGGCAGUUCUCUGGGACGGUACUGACGCUGAGACGCGAAAGCGUGGGGAGCAAACAGG
rnacentral:rRNA from 1 species